rnacentral:rRNA from 1 species
AUUGAACGCUGGCGGCAUGCCUUACACAUGCAAGUCGAACGGUAACGGGCCUUCGGGUGCCGACGAGUGGCGAACGGGUGAGUAAUGUAUCGGAACGUACCUUUCGGUGGGGGAUAACGUAGCGAAAGUUACGCUAAUACCGCAUAUUCUGUGAGCAGGAAAGCAGGGGAUCGCAAGACCUUGCGCUGAUUGAGCGGCCGAUAUCAGAUUAGCUAGUUGGUGAGGGAAAGGCUCACCAAGGCGACGAUCUGUAGCGGGUCUGAGAGGAUGAUCCGCCACACUGGAACUGAGACACGGUCCAGACUCCUACGGGAGGCAGCAGUGGGGAAUUUUGGACAAUGGGGGCAACCCUGAUCCAGCCAUGCCGCGUGAGUGAAGAAGGCCUUCGGGUUGUAAAGCUCUUUCGGCCGGGAAGAAAUCGUAUCAGCUAAUACCUGGUGCGGAUGACGGUACCGGCAUAAGAAGCACCGGCUAACUACGUGCCAGCAGCCGCCGUAAGAC